AGUGAACGCUGGCGGUAGGCCUAACACAUGCAAGUCGAACGGCAGCACAGUAAGAGCUUGCUCUUACGGGUGGCGAGUGGCGGACGGGUGAGGAAUACAUCGGAAUCUACUUUUUCGUGGGGGAUAACGUAGGGAAACUUACGCUAAUACCGCAUACGACCUACGGGUGAAAGCAGGGGAUCUUCGGACCUUGCGCGAUUGAAUGAGCCGAUGUCGGACUAGCUAGUUGGCGGGGUAAAGGCCCACCAAGGCGACGAUCCGUAGCUGGUCUGAGGGGAUGAUCAGCCACACUGGAACUGAGACACGGUCCAGACUCCUACGGGAGGCAGCAGUGGGGAAUAUUGGACAAUGGGCGCAAGCCUGAUCCAGCCAUACCGCGUGGGUGAAGAAGGCCUUCGGGUUGUAAAGCCCUUUUGUUGGGAAAGAAAAGCAGCAGGUUAAUACCCCGCUGUUCUGACGGUACCCAAAGAAUAAGCACCGGCUAACUUCGUG
rnacentral:rRNA from 1 species